AUUGAACGCUGGCGGAAUGCUUUACACAUGCAAGUCGAACGGUAGAGGGGGCAACCCCUCGAGAGUGGCGAACGGGUGAGUAAUAUAUCGGAACGUGCCCAGUCGUGGGGGAUAACGUAGCGAAAGUUACGUUAGUACCGCAUACGAUCUAAGGAUGAAAGCGGGGGAUCGCAAGACCUCGCGCGAUUGGAGCGGCCGAUAUCAGAUUAGGUAGUUGGUGGGGUAAAGGCUCACCAAGCCAACGAUCUGUAGCUGGUCUGAGAGGUCGACCAGCCACACUGGAACUGAGACACGGUCCAGACUCCUACGGGAGGCAGCAGUGGGGAAUUUUGGACAAUGGACGCAAGUCUGAUCCAGCCAUUCCGCGUGCAGGAUGAAGGCCCUCGGGUUGUAAACUGCUUUUGUACGGAACGAAAAGGUCUCUCUUAAUACGGGGGACUCAUGACGGUACCGUAAGAAUAAGCACCGGCUAACUACGUGCCAGCCGCCGCAGUAAUAC
rnacentral:rRNA from 1 species